GACUCUGGGCCCCACCUCCAUGCCACACUUCUGCUCCCAGGAUAGCAACAAACCCAGCUGGGAUCUGUGUUAUUCGUGCUUCCUGAUGCUGAUUUUGAAGCCUCAGAAAGGAUGGAGUUGCCAGACGUCAGGAAGGAGAAGGGUCAGAGAUUUGAAGAAAGUGAAGAAUCAGAAAGCAUCUUUUUAGGGAAAUUCAGGAGUGCUGAAGGCCUGAGAGAUAACAGGACCAGACUAUUGGGUUAGUGACCUUUCUCCAGCUGUACUCAGCAGCCCCAGGAGAGUGAUGGGGAAGACAGAUAAUUACAUUCAGCAAGAGUUGAGGUUCUUCCAGGUGGACAUGUCUCCUUUUCUCUCUGCCACAUCAUAUUGUCUUCCAGGCAUCAGUUCAGCUCAAUAUUGAGAAUGUCUACCAUGUAGGAGGCACUCCUAAGUUCUUGUAAAAAUAGAAAAA
rnacentral:lncRNA from 1 species